rnacentral:rRNA from 1 species
UACGUAGGGUGCAAGCGUUGUCCGGAAUUAUUGGGCGUAAAGAGCUCGUAGGCGGUUUGUCGCGUCGAAUGUGAAAACCCGGGGCUCAACCCCGGGCCUGCAUUCGAUACGGGCAGACUAGAGUUCGGUAGGGGGAGUCUGGAAUUCCUGGUGUAGCGGUGAAAUGCGCAGAUAUCAGGAGGAACACCAAUUGCGAAGGCAGCUCGCUGGGACGUUACUGACGCUGAGACGCGAAGCGUGGGGAGCAAACAGG